rnacentral:rRNA from 1 species
CCUACGGGAGACAGCAGUGGGGAAUAUUGGACAAUGGGCGAAAGCCUGAUCCAGCCAUGCCGCGUGUGUGAAGAAGGCCUUCGGGUUGUAAAGCACUUUCAGUGGGGAAGAAAGCCUUGGGGCUAAUACCCUCGAGGAAGGACAUCACCCACAGAAGAAGCACCGGCUAACUCCGUGCCAGCAGCCGCGGUAAUACGGAGGGUGCGAGCGUUAAUCGGAAUUACUGGGCGUAAAGCGCGCGUAGGCGGUCUGAUAAGCCGGUUGUGAAAGCCCCGGGCUCAACCUGGGAACGGCAUCCGGAACUGUCAGGCUAGAGUGCAGGAGAGGAAGGUAGAAUUCCCGGUGUAGCGGUGAAAUGCGUAGAGAUCGGGAGGAAUACCAGUGGCGAAGGCGGCCUUCUGGACUGACACUGACGCUGAGGUGCGAAAGCGUGGGUAGCAAACAGGAUUAGAUACCCGAGUAGUC